rnacentral:misc_RNA from 1 species
GAAGUGCGAUAAGCAAUGCGAAUUGCAGAACCGUGAGUCAUCAGAUUUUUGAACGCAACUGGCGCCGGCUGGUUCUCCAGUCGGCAUGCUUGUUUCAGUGUCUUGUUUUCUCCUCACCCAAACCUUAAUGCCUCUACUCUCAAUGAGUUCACACUUUGAGAAAUGUGACGACAGCAUUGAGCGCAGCUUCAAGAACGAGUCUACGAAGCCG